rnacentral:SRP_RNA from 1 species
GCCGGGCGUGGUGGCGUGCAUGCCUGUAUUCCCAGUUACUCAGGAGGCUGAAGUGGGAGGAUGGCUUGAGCCCAGGAGCUCUGGGCUGUAGUGCGCUAUGCCGAUUGGGUGUCCGCACUAAGUUCGGCAUCAAUAUGGUGACCUCCCGGGAGCGGGGGACCACCAGGUUGCCUGAGGGGUGAACCGGCCCAGGUCGGAAAUGGAGCAGGUCAAAAACUCCCGUGCUGUUCAGUAGUGGGAUUGCACCUGUGAAUAACCACUGCACUCCAGCCUGGGCAACAUAGUGAGACCCCGUCUCU